rnacentral:tRNA from 1 species
GAUGGUGUAGCUCAGCGGUAGAGCAGUUGGCUGUUAACCAAGUGGUCGGUGGUUCGAAUCCAUCCACCAUCGCCA